rfam:Felis catus isolate Cinnamon breed Abyssinian chromosome D1, whole genome shotgun sequence.
GCCUGGGUGGCUUGGUCGGUUAAGCGCCUGACUUCGGCUCAGGUCAUGAUCUCACGGUCCGUGAGUUCGAGCCCCGCGUCGGGCU